rnacentral:rRNA from 1 species
GGGCGCAAKYCUGAUGCAGCGACGCCGCGUGAGGGAUGGAGGCCUUCGGGUUGUAAACCUCUUUUAUCGGGGAGCAAGCGANNGAGUGAGUUUACCCGUUGAAUAAGCACCGGCUAACUACGUGCCAGCAGCCGCGGUAAUACGUAGGGUGCAAGCGUUAUCCGGAAUUAUUGGGCGUAAAGGGCUCGUAGGCGGUUCGUCGCGUCCGGUGUGAAAKUYCAUCGCUUAACGGUGGAUCCGCGCCGGGUACGGGCGGGCUUGAGUGCGGUAGGGGAGACUGGAAUUCCCGGUGUAACGGUGGAAUGUGUAGAUAUCGGGAAGAACACC